rnacentral:rRNA from 1 species
UCCCUGCAGGAACCCCGCUCUGUAGCUUUGGCGGGACGCGGUCCUCCGCACCGGCGCCCUUCGGGGGGCUGGCCAGCGCCCGCCAGAGGACCAUAAAACUCCAGUCAGUGAACUUCGCAGUCUGAAAAACAAGUUAAUAAACUAAAACUUUCAACAACGGAUCUCUUGGUUCUGGCAUCGAUGAAGAACGCAGCGAAAUGCGAUAAGUAAUGUGAAUUGCAGAAUUCAGUGAAUCAUCGAAUCUUUGAACGCACAUUGCGCCCCUUGGUAUUCCGAGGGGCAUGCCUGUUCGAGCGUCAUUUCAACCCUCAAGCUCUGCUUGGUAUUGGGCCCCGUCCUCCACGGACGCGCCUUAAAGACCUCGGCGGUGGCGUCUUGCCUCAAGCGUAGUAGAAAACACCUCGCUUUGGAGCGCAUGGCGUCGCCCGCCGGACGAACCUUUGAAUUAUUUCUCAAGGUUGACCUCGGAUCAGGUAGGGAUACCCGCUGAACUUAAGCAUAUCAAUAAGCGGAGGAAAAGAAACCAACAGGGAUUGCCUUAGUAACGGCGAGUGAAGCGGCAAUAGCUCAAAUUUGAAAGCUGGCCCCUUCGGGGUCCGCGUUGUAAUUUGUAGAGGAUGAUUCGGCGAGGGCUCCCGUCUAAGUCCCUUGGAACAGGGCGUCAUAGAGGGUGAGAAUCCCGUAUGUGAUGGGCUGCCUUAGCCAUGUGAAUCUCCUUCGACGAGUCGAGUUGUUUGGGAAUGCAGCUCUAAAUGGGAGGUAAAUUUCUUCUAAAGCUAAAUACCGGCCAGAGACCGAUAGCGCACAAGUAGAGUGAUCGAAAGAUGAAAAGCACUUUGGAAAGAGAGUUAAAAAGUACGUGAAAUUGUUGAAAGGGAAGCGCUUGCAGCCAGACUUGUCCGCAGUUGCUCAGCUUGUCUCCUGACAGGCGUACUCUUCUGCGGCCAGGCCAGCAUCAGUUCGGGCGGUCGGAUAAAGACCUGGGAAUGUAGCUCCUCUCGGGGAGUGUUAUAGCCCUGGGUGCAAUGCGGCCAGCCUGGACUGAGAUCUCGCUUCGCUAGAUGCUGGCGUAAUGCCUGUAGCGGCCCGUCUGAACACGACAGGAUCUAACAUCUAUGCAGUGUUGGUG